rnacentral:tRNA from 2 species
CAAGAAGUAGUUUAAUUAUAAAAUAUUAAUUUUGGAGAUUAAUGAUAGGAUUUUUUCUUUUCUUGA